rnacentral:rRNA from 1 species
GACGUAGGGUGCGAGCGUUGUCCGGAUUUAUUGGGCGUAAAGAGCUCGUAGGCGGCUCGUCGCGUCGACUGUGAAAACUCGGGGCUUAACCCUGGGCCUGCAGUCGAUACGGGCGGGCUAGAGUUCGGUAGGGGAGACUGGAAUUCCUGGUGUAGCGGUGAAAUGCGCAGAUAUCAGGAGGAACACCGGUGGCGAAGGCGGGUCUCUGGGCCGAUACUGACGCUGAGGAGCGAAAGCGUGGGGAGCGAACAGG